rnacentral:rRNA from 1 species
AUGCCAGACGUCGGCAAGCAUGCUUGUCGGUGUCACACCUAACGGAUUAAGCAUUCCGCCUGGGGAGUACGGUCGCAAGAUUAAAACUCAAAGGAAUUGACGGGGGCCCGCACAAGCGGUGGAGUAUGUGGUUUAAUUCGAAGCAACGCGCAGAACCUUACCAACCCUUGACAUCCCUGGACCGGUCCGGAGACGGAUCUUUCACUUCGGUGACCAGGAGACAGGUGCUGCAUGGCUGUCGUCAGCUCGUGUCGUGUGAUGAUGAUGUUCGAUUAAGUCCGGCAACGAGCGCAACCCACGUCCCCAGUUGCCAGCAUUCAGUUGGGCACUCUGUGGAAACUGCCGGUGAUAAGCCGGAGGAAGGUGUGGAUGACGUCAAGUCCUCAUGGCCCUUACGGGUUGGGCUACACACGUGCUACAAUGGUGGUGACAGUGGGUUAAUCCCCAAAAGCCAUCUCAGUUCGGAUUGUCCUCUGCAAAUCGAGGGCAUGAAGUUGGAAUCGCUAGUAAUCGCGGAACAGCAUGCCGCGGUGAAUACGUUCCCGGGCCUUGUACACACCGCCCGUC